UGGGGAAUCUUGGACAAUGGGCGCAAGCCUGAUCCAGCCAUGCCGCGUGAGUGAAGAAGGCCUUCGGGUUGUAAAGCUCUUUUACCAGGGACGAUAAUGACGGUACCUGGAGAAUAAGCCCCGGCAAACUUCGUGCCAGCAGCCGCGGUAAUACGAAGGGGGCUAGCGUUGUUCGGAAUUACUGGGCGUAAAGCGCACGUAGGCGGAUUGUUAAGUCAGAGGUGAAAUCCCGGAGCUCAACUUCGGAACUGCCUUUGAUACUGGCUAUCUUGAGUACGGAAGAGGUAUGUGGAACUCCGAGUGUAGAGGUGAAAUUCGUAGAUAUUCGGAAGAACACCAGUGGCGAAGGCGACAUACUGGUCCGUUACUGACGCUGAGGCUCGAAAGCGUGGGGAGCAAACAGGAUUAGAUACCCUUGUAGUCCCUGAGCGGGCUGGCAAGGCGCAU
rnacentral:rRNA from 1 species